rnacentral:rRNA from 1 species
UCCAUAGGUUAAUGAGGCGAACCGGGGGAACUGAAACAUCUAAGUACCCCGAGGAAAAGAAAUCAACCGAGAUUCCCCCAGUAGCGGCGAGCGAACGGGGAGGAGCCCAGAGCCUGAAUCAGUGUGUGUGUUAGUGGAAGCGUCUGGAAAGGCGCGCGAUACAGGGUGACAGCCCCGUACACAAAAAUGCACAUACUGUGAGCUCGAUGAGUAGGGCGGGACACGUGGUAUCCUGUCUGAAUAUGGGGGGACCAUCCUCCAAGGCUAAAUACUCCUGACUGACCGAUAGUGAACCAGUACCGUGAGGGAAAGGCGAAAAGAACCCCGGCGAGGGGAGUGAAAAAGAACCUGAAACCGUGUACGUACAAGCAGUGGGAGCCUCUUUAUGGGGUGACUGCGUACCUUUUGUAUAAUGGGUCAGCGACUUAUAUUCUGUAGCAAGGUUAACCGAAUAGGGGAGCCGAAGGGAAACCGAGUCUUAACUGGGCGUUAAGUUGCAGGGUAUAGACCCGAAACCCGGUGAUCUAGCCAUGGGCAGGUUGAAGGUUGGGUAACACUAACUGGAGGACCGAACCGACUAAUGUUGAAAAAUUAGCGGAUGACUUGUGGCUGGGGGUGAAAGGCCAAUCAAACCGGGAGAUAGCUGGUUCUCCCCGAAAGCUAUUUAGGUAGCGCCUCGUGAAUUCAUCUCCGGGGGUAGAGCACUGUUUCGGCAAGGGGGUCAUCCCGACUUACCAACCCGAUGCAAACU